CCUACGGGAGGCAGCAGUGAGGAAUAUUGGUCAAUGGACGAAAGUCUGAACCAGCCACGCCGCGUGCAGGAAGACGGCUCUCUGAGCUGUAAACUGCAUUUGUACGGGGGUAAACGCAGAUACGUGUAUCUGUCUGCAAGUAUCGUACGAAUAAGGCUCGGCUAACUCCGUGCCAGCAGCCGCGGUAAUACGGAGGAUCCAAGCGUUAUCCGGAUUUAUUGGGUUUCAAGGGUGCGUAGUCGGGUGGAUAAGUUAGUGGUGAAAGCCCGAGGCUUAACUUCGGAAUUGCAUUUGAUACUGUGCGGCUAGAGAGCAGUUGCGGUAGGCGGAAUGCAUGGUGUAGCGGUGAAAUGCGUAGAGAUCAGGAAGAACACCGAUUGCGAAGGCAGCUUACUAAGCUGUUACUGACGUUGAGGCUCGAAAGCGUGGGGAGCAAACAGGAUUAGAUACCCGUGUAGUC
rnacentral:rRNA from 1 species